rnacentral:rRNA from 1 species
CCUACGGGAGGCAGCAGUGGGGAAUAUUGGGCAAUGGAGGAAACUCUGACCCAGCGACGCCGCGUGCGGGAUGAAGGCCUUCGGGUUGUAAACCGCUUUCAGCAGGGAAGAAGCGAAAGUGACGGUACCUGCAGAAGAAGCACCGGCUAACUAUGUGCCAGCAGCCGCGGUAAUACAUAGGGUGCAAGCGUUGUCCGGAAUUAUUGGGCGUAAAGAGCUCGUAGGUGGUUCGUCACGUCGGAUGUGAAAAUCUGGGGCUUAACCCCAGACCUGCAUUCGAUACGGGCGAGCUUGAGUAUGGUAGGGGAGUCUGGAAUUCCUGGUGUAGCGGUGGAAUGCGCAGAUAUCAGGAGGAACACCAAUGGCGAAGGCAGGACUCUGGGCCAUUACUGACACUGAGGAGCGAAAGCGUGGGGAGCGAACAGGAUUAGAUACCCUGGUAGUCCACGCCGUAAACGGUGGGCACUAGUUGUGGGGACCUUCCACGGUCUCUGCGACGCNGCUACGCAUAGUGUCCCGCCGUCGGGAGGUACGAGUCGCGAGAGUUAAACGUAACGUAAAGUUAAGUUAGUAGGCGUUGAGACGUUGCCGACGGACGACGACGAGGGAGAGG